rnacentral:rRNA from 1 species
UACGUAGGGUGCAAGCGUUGUCCGGAAUUAUUGGGCGUAAAGAGCUCGUAGGCGGUCUGUCGCGUCUGCUGUGAAAACUCGGGGCUUAACCCCGGGCCUGCAGUGGGUACGGGCAGGCUGGAGGCAGGCAGGGGAGAACGGAAUUCCCGGUGUAGCGGUGAAAUGCGCAGAUAUCGGGAGGAACACCGGUGGCGAAGGCGGUUCUCUGGGCCUGUACUGACGCUGAGGAGCGAAAGCGUGGGGAGCGAACAGG